UACGGGGGGGGCAAGCGUUGUUCGGAAUUACUGGGCGUAAAGGGUUCGUAGGUGGCCAACUAAGUCAGACGUGAAAUCCCUCAGCUUAACUGGGGAACUGCGUCUGAUACUGGUCUGGCUUGAGUGCAGGAGAGGAACGCGGAAUUCCAGGUGUAGCGGUGAAAUGCGUAGAUAUCCGGAAGAACACCGGUGGCGAAGGCGGCCUGCUGGGCAGUAGCUGACGCUGAUGCGCGACAGCGUGGGGAGCAAACAGG
rnacentral:rRNA from 1 species